CCUACGGGGGGCAGCAGUGGGGAAUAUUGGACAAUGGGGGGAACCCUGAUCCAGCGACGCCGCGUGAGUGAAGAAGUAUUUCGGUAUGUAAAGCUCUAUCAGCAGGGAAGAAAGAAAUGACGGUACCUGACUAAGAAGCCCCGGCUAACUACGUGCCAGCAGCCGCGGUAAUACGUAGGGGGCAAGCGUUAUCCGGAUUUACUGGGUGUAAAGGGAGCGUAGACGGCGAUGCAAGUCUGAUGUGAAAGCCCGCGGCCCAACCGCGGGACUGCAUUGGGAACUACCGGGCUGGAGUGCCGGAGAGGUAGGCGGAAUUCCUAGUGUAGCGGUGAAAUGCGUAGAUAUUAGGAGGAACACCAGUGGCGAAGGCGGCCUACUGGACGGUGACUGACGCUGAGGCUCGAAAGCGUGGGGAGCAAACAGGAUUAGAUACCCGGGUAGUC
rnacentral:rRNA from 1 species